rnacentral:rRNA from 1 species
UACGUAGGCAGCGAGCGUUGUUCGGAGUUACUGGGCGUAAAGAGUGCGUAGGCGGUUUUCUAAGUUUGGUGUGAAAUCUCCCGGCUUAACUGGGAGGUGCGCCGAAGACUGGAAGGCUUGAGUAUGGGAGAGGUAAGCGGAAUUCCUGGUGUAGCGGUGAAAUGCGUAGAUAUCAGGAGGAACACCUGCGGUGUAGACGGCUUACUGGACCAUAACUGACGCUGAGGCACGAAAAGCGUGGGUAGCAAACAGG